UCGGUCGCUGUCUGGUCUAUACAGGCGUUUUCCUAGCUUUUGUACACGUAAGACUUCUCUGACCAGCAGGAGGAGAAGCAGUUCGGACGUUUGCUGUAAAUUAGUUGAAAAGAAGCGAAGUGCGCAAUGUAGGUCGCGGUCUGAUAAGGCUUUUCUCAAAGUUUUGUACACGUAAGACUUCUCUGGCCAGCAGGAGGAGAAGCAGUUCGAAAGCUUGCUGUAAAUCAGUUGAAAAGAAGCGAAGUGCGCAAUGUCGUUCGCGGUCUGAUAAUGCCUUUCUCAAAGUUUUGUACACGUAAGACUUCUCUGACCAUCAGGAGGAGAAGCAGUAUGUAGGUCUGUAAAUGAGUUGAAAAGAGGAAUGUGUCACGAAGCUGCCAACAUGAUAGUAUUUGUGAGCCGUGUCGCCCUGAGUACUGAGGUAGCUCACGUUCUCCCGACAGAUUUGCUCAACAAACGCCAUGUUUACCGAGUAGUUUGUGCCGGAGCUCUGCUCUUGUGGACAUACCGUUUCAUUAAAUAUGUAUCUUCGUUGGUAACUACGUGGGACAUUCACUUUCAACGCAUGUGCCUUAAGAUCUGAUUGUAAGGGUCUUAAGGCUACUGUGUAUUGUAUACUGCAAGAACAGAGUUUCUUGUUUGGGAGAAGGGAAAUAUUUUUUGUUUUCUGAAGUGAGCUGCUUUGAGCCACGGUCCCCUUAGCGAGUGUAGGUUUCAUACUUAGCCUUUUAAGUACUCCCAGAGUGAAGUGGAAUAGUAGGUUUUUUCAGGUUAAAGCGCGCAUGGUCAAAAUCGUUUCUUGUAUUUCAAAAUCUGUUCUUGGAUGCCAUCGGCGUCCUCCACAAGAUCCAAGACCGGAUCUUGAAAUACAAGAAACCUUUUCCACCGUGCGCACACACUCUUUGUCUUCGUAAGCACCAGCGCUUGGAUUUACACCAUCGGCUGCACCAUUUUCUUCGGCUGCCGACUGCCGGGUAUUCUACGAUGCUUCUUACUUUGAAAAGGUAAAACGGAAGAGCUCCUGCAAACUGCGUGGGAACGUCGAUUAGCGUGCAACUACACCGGACCGGAAUGUCCUCGCUGCGUCCUGCGGGUCCGUCGUGAGGUUUUCUGACACCCCCCCCCCUCCCUCAUGGACUUUAAGGCUGCUGCUUGUAUACUGCAAGAACAUAGUAUCUUGCGUCGUCUUUAUUCGUUUUAAGACAUCUGCGUUGAGCCACGAUGCUAUGGGCGAGCAUAAUUUUAACGCUGAGCUAUAAUACUUAGCAUGUUCAGUGCUCCCGGAGUGGAGCGGCAUAGUUGGUGGUUAUAUGAAGAUGGAGUGCACUCCGUCCACACUGUGUCUUCGUAAGCAGCGGCCGCCGGAUUUACACCACCGACUGCUUUGUCUUCUGCCACUGCUGGGUGGUGUCCACAUGACGCUUCUUACUUUGAAGAGGUGGAAGGGAAGAGCUCGUGCAAACUGCAUGAGAACGUCGAGUAGCGUGCAACUACCCCGGACUGGAGCGUCCCUCGCUGCGGCCUGCGAGUUCGUCGCGAGGU